rnacentral:misc_RNA from 1 species
CACGUACUGUGCGAACGUUAUUCGGAAUCACUGGGCUUAAAGGGUACGUAGGCGGUUUAUCAAGUCAGGUGUGAAAUGCCUGAGCUCAACCGAGGCACUGCGCUUGAAACUGAUAAACUAGAGUGUUCCAGGGGUAUGCGGAACUGCCAGUGGAGCGGUGAAAUGCGUUGAUAUUGGCAGGAACACCAGUGGCGAAGGCGGCAUACUGGGGGACAACUGACGCUGAGGUACGAAAGCCAGGGUAGCGAACGGG